GUAGGGAAUAUUGCGCAAUGGACGAAAGUCUGACGCAGCGACGCCGCGUGAGUGAUGAAGGCCUUAGGGUCGUAAAGCUCUGUUGAAUGGGAAGAAAAAAAUGACGGUACCAUUCGAGGAAGGACCGGCUAACUUCGUGCCAGCAGCCGCGGUAAUACGAGGGGUCCUAGCGUUGUUAGGAAUCAUUGGGCGUAAAGGGGGUGUAGGUGGCCAUGUAAGUCAGGUGUGAAAGCCCCGGGCUCAACCCGGGAAGUGCACUUGAUACUGCGUGGCUUGAGUACCGAAGAGGGUAGUGGAAUUCCAGGUGUAGUGGUGAAAUACGUAGAUAUCUGGAGGAACACCGGUGGCGAAGGCGGCUACCUGGUCGAGUACUGACACUGAGACACGAAAGCAUGGGGAUCAAACAGGAUUAGAAACCCCGGUAGUCC
rnacentral:rRNA from 1 species